GAUGAACGCUGGCGGCGUGCCUAACACAUGCAAGUCGAACGGAAAGGCCCUGCUUGCAGGGUACUCGAGUGGCGAACGGGUGAGUAACACGUGGGUGAUUUGCCCUGCACUUCGGGUUAAGCUUGGGAAAGUGGGCCUAAUACCGGAUAGGAACUAUCUUGAGCGUGGUGGUUGGAAAGUUUUUUCGGUGUUGGAUGAGCCCGCGGCGUAGUAGCUAGUUGGUGGGGUAAUGGCCUACCAAGGCGGCGACGCGUAGCCGGCCUGAGAGGGUGAGCCGACACACGGGAACUGACACACGGUCCAGACUCGUACGGGAGGCCGCAGUCGGGAAUGGUGCAGAAGUGGCGAAAGUCGGACAGAGCGAGGAAGCGUGAGGGAGGAAGGCCUCCUGAGCGUAGAACGCUUUCAGUUGGGAAGAACAUAUGUGUAGGGACGAAUGUUUGUUUUGACGGUACCUAAACAAGAAGCACCGGCUAACUACGUG
rnacentral:rRNA from 1 species